rnacentral:rRNA from 1 species
GAUGAACGCUGGCGGCGUGCCUAAUACAUGCAAGUCGAGCGAACAGACGAGGAGCUUGCUCCUCUGACGUUAGCGGCGGACGGGUGAGUAACACGUGGAUAACCUACCUAUAAGACUGGGAUAACUUCGGGAAACCGGAGCUAAUACCGGAUAAUAUAUUGAACCGCAUGGUUCAAUAGUGAAAGACGGUUUUGCUGUCACUUAUAGAUGGAUCCGCGCCGCAUUAGCUAGUUGUUAAGUUAACGGCUUACCACGGCAACGAUGCGUAGCCGACCUGAGAGGGUGAUCGGCCACACUGGAACUGAACCACGGUCCAGACUCCUACGGGAGGCAGCAGUAGGGAAUCUGCCGCAAAGGGCGAAAGCCUGACGGAGCAACGCCGCGUGAGUGAUGAAGGUCUUCGGAUCGUAAAACUCUGUUAUUAGGGAAGAACAAAUGUGUAAGGAACUAUGCACGUCUUGACGGUACCUAAUCAGAAAGCCACGGCUAACUACGUG